AUCCUAGCUUGCUAGGAGGCGUCGAGCGGCGGACGGGUGAGUAACACGUGAGAAUCUGCCCAUUAGUGGGGGAUAACCUGGGGAAACCCAGGCUAAUACCGCAUAAUCUCUACGGAGGAAAGCAGGGGAUCUUCGGACCUUGUGCUGAUGGAUGAGCUCGCGUCGGAUUAGCUUGUUGGUGAGGUAAUGGCUCACCAAGGCGACUAUCCGUAGCUGGUCUUAGAGGAUGAUCAGCCACACCGGGACUGAGACACGGCCCGGACUCCUACGGGAGGCAGCAGUGGGGAAUCUUGGACAAUGGGGGCAACCCUGAUCCAGCCAUGCCGCGUGUGUGAAGAAGGCCUUCGGGUUGUAAAGCACUUUCAGUAGGGAGGAAGGCUUAUCCUUAAUACGGAUGAGUACUUGACGUUACCUACAGAAGAAGCACCGGCUAAUUUCGU
rnacentral:rRNA from 1 species